GAUGAACGCUGGCGGCGUGCCUGAUACAUGCAAGUCGAGCGAACAGACGGGGAGCUUGCUCCUCUGACGUUAGCGGCGGACGGGUGAGUAACACGUGGAUAACCUACCUAUAAGACUGGGAUAACUUCGGGAAACCGGAGCUAAUACCGGAUAAUAUAUUGAACCGCAUGGUUCAAUAGUGAAAGACGGUUUUGCUGUCACUUAUAGAUGGAUCCGCGCCGCAUUAGCUAGUUGGUAAGGUAACGGCUUACCAAGGCAACGAUGCGUAGCCGACCUGAGAGGGUGAUCGGCCACACUGGAACUGAGACACGGUCCAGACUCCUACGGGAGGCAGCAGUAGGGAAUCUUCCGCAAUGGGCGAAAGCCUGACGGAGCAACGCCGCGUGAGUGAUGAAGGUCUUCGGAUCGUAAAACUCUGUUAUUAGGGAAGAACAAAUGUGUAAGUAACUAUGCACGUCUUGACGGUACCUAAUCAGAAAGCCACGGCUAACUACGUG
rnacentral:rRNA from 1 species